rnacentral:lncRNA from 1 species
ACAAAUGAAGUCCCCGUAAUUGGAUUGCACAUGGUUGGAAAAUGAGUAUGAAUCAAUCCUUAAUCUUGAGAGCACUGGAAACUUUAAUGAGGCUCAAAGAACUGAGGAGCAUCUUAUUCUUUUUCUCCUUUAUUGUUCUUUUUCAUUCCUUUUUCUCUUCUUUCUUCUUUCUUUCUUUUUCCUAAUUUUUUUCUUUUUCUCCUCAGAACAUCUUGCAACAUAGUACUUUACUCAGCAGUAGUUAGAGAUAAUGCGAUGACUUCUUCCCCAUGCUUAGAUGAUGCUCGUCCUCUAACAUGAAAGAGAAAGAAAGAUAAAUUGUUGAGGUAAGUACUAAAAUAUUCC